rnacentral:rRNA from 1 species
CCUACGGGCGGCAGCAGUGGGGAAUUGUUCGCAAUGGGCGCAAGCCUGACGACGCAACGCCGCGUGGAGGAUGAAGGUCUUCGGAUUGUAAACUCCUGUCGAGCGGGACGAACACUCACCGGAUGAAUACUCUGGUGAGCUGACGGUACCGCGAGAGGAAGCCCCGGCUAACUCUGUGCCAGCAGCCGCGGUAAUACAGAGGGGGCAAGCGUUGUUCGGAAUUACUGGGCGUAAAGGGCGCGUAGGCGGCCUUCUAAGUCAGACGUGAAAUCCCUCGGCUCAACCGGGGAACUGCGUCUGAGACUGGAAGGCUUGAAUCCGGGAGAGGGAUGUGGAAUUCCAGGUGUAGCGGUGAAAUGCGUAGAUAUCUGGAGGAACACCGGUGGCGAAGGCGGCAUCCUGGACCGGUAUUGACGCUGAUGCGCGAAAGCCAGGGGAGC